UACGGAGGAGGCAAGCGUUAUCCGGAAUUAUUGGGCGUAAAGCGUCCGUAGGUGGAUGUUCAAGUCAGUUGUUAAAGCGUGGAGCUUAACUCCAUAAGGGCAAUUGAAACUGAGCGUCUGGAGUGCGAUAGGGGCAAGGGGAAUUCCCAGUGUAGCGGUGAAAUGCGUAGAUAUUGGGAAGAACAUCGGUGGCGAAAGCGCCUUGCUGGGUCUGCACUGACACUGAGGGACGAAAGCUAGGGGAGCGAAAGGGAUUAGAUACCCCUGUAGUCCUAGCCGUAAACGAUGGAUACUAGGCGUUGUCCGUAUCGACCCGGGCAGUGUCGUAGCUAACGCGUUAAGUAUCCCGCCUGGGGAGU
rnacentral:rRNA from 1 species